GGGGAAGGGCUGUAGCUUGGUGGCACAGCAUUUAUUCUGUAUGCAGAAGGUCCCAGGUUCAAUCCCUGGCAUCCCCA